UGCCUCCAUUUGAUACUAGAGUCUCAGUAAAUAGUCUUAAUGGACCAUGCCAUAGACUUCCCCUUGGAUGCCUCAUACUUAGUAUAAUACUCUGAGGAUCCCCAGAUUGGUCAGAAGCUCUCCAAUCAAUAUGUUUUAGAGAAAACUGGCUACUUUAUUGUGGAAGAUACGUGAGACCAUGCACCAUCCUGAAGAUACACCCAAUCCCAGCUGACAGCUCCUCGAACUUCUCUGGAGUCUUGAGAGACUUCCAUGUUCCAGUCGCCUUGAGCCUGGAAUACACACCCUUGGUUACUUUAUAUAAUCUGUGUCCCCGUCACAAUGGGCUAACACCAUGGAAGCGCAGGAAGGAAGCGGUGGGG